rnacentral:lncRNA from 1 species
GGUUUUUUUUUUUUCCUCUUCAACUGUAGGCUACUGAGUUCUAUUUUAUAGAAUAGGAAAUAUUCUGGAAUGCCCACAUUUGAUCAUGAUCCUAGAAUCACUUAACAAUAAGUAGAGAUAACGCUGAGGUCUAGGUCCCUGUCUGCCCUGUACCGUGUUGUAUUUGGGUCAACAAUUUUAAAAAAAUCCAUUUUAAACAAAUAUUGAGACAGAACAAUUUAAAACAACCACAGAAGUAAGGUUGACAAUAUGAUUUUUAAAUAUUUUUACAUAUUUUUCUUUUUGUUCUAAUUGGCUCUACAUGACAGUUGAAUGCACUUUGAUACAUCAUACAUAGAUGGAGUAUAACUUCUCAUUCUGCUGGCUGUACAUGAUGUAGAAUCACACCAGUUGUGCAGCCAUAUACACACACAGGGUCCUAAUGUCUGAUUCAUUCUACCCCAUACCUCUUCCCCUCGUGUUACCGCCCUGUACCUAAUCCAAAGUACCUCUAUUCUUCCCCACCCCCACCCCCAUUGUGAAUUAGCAUCCACAUGGCCUUUGGAUUUGGGGGAUCGGCUUAUUUCACUGAGCCUGAUAUUCUCCAGCUCCAUCCAUUUACCAACAAAUGCC